CUAGGUGCCGUUUGAAUCGUAAAAAAAUACCACGCCGAAAAUGCGAGAUACUACAAGAAGUCGAUCUGCUUUUCUUCGGUUCCCGAUCCUCUUUGGAUCCAUUUUGGGAAUAUUUUACAUGGGAUUCCAAUAUCGGAAAACAUUCAUGACAGACAUACCAGAAAAAGUAAAGGAAAUGAAUAAAGAAGACUCAGAUAA